CUGUACCUUCUGAGUUAGGCAGGGAGCUGUGGCUAAGUUCUGGCAGAGGGAAUGUGGGAGGAAGGAAUGCAUACCAUUUUCAGGGCUGACCUGUAAAGUCCACACACUCUUUCCUUUUACAGAGAAUUUGGAACCCUGAACAGAGUGACUCUGUGAGAUGCAAGGACCUGGGUUCCAAGAUGACGGUAUGGAGCAGAACCAUCCCCUUCAGCCUGGAUGCAAAGAUUCUGGAGAACACAUUAGAUCCGGCCCAGAGCAAGUGAACAGAGUCUUCUUCUAGCUCUGGACAAGAACCCAGUCAUUUUAGCAAAGGCUGCCAGAGGUCAUCCCAUCACUGCUUCAGGGUGGAUAAUGAGGCGUCUUGGGGGUGAGUGCAUACGGUGUAAGUGUCAGAAAGCUGCAUCUGUUGCUUGCUCCGAGGGCCUGGAGGGUCAAGUCACAUGAGUACGAUAUUUUCAUAAUAUUCUUCUGCAUCUUCGUCAUCGGAGCCGACUUUUCCAUCUGAGUCAACUGGCAGCUGUGUCUUCACCUCAGAGUAGACUAUCAAGGCAUGCUGGGACAGAAAGAAGACAGCGGAGGAACUUGAAAGGGUUUAUCCUUCACCCAGAAGCAUGGGACAGCUGAUGGAUACUUCCCCAGUCCAUCAGCAGGACUGCUAGGCUCCUCAGAUUUCCCUCUCUUGGUCCCCAGCACUGAUGUGGCAUAGCACAGAAACAGGAAGACAAUGGAGAAUGAAGUCUAGUCCUUCGCCUUUCUUGGCAGAUAGAUCCAUGAAAACUUACUGUGCCAUUCCGGGUGUGAAUGUCGUAGUUACCAAGAAGACUGAACCACUGUCCCUAACCUCAAGAAGCUUACAGUCUAACAAAGGAAAUUCAAAUGCUGGGGAUUGAACCCAAGUCCUCACACACAUUAGGCGAGUACCCUGCCACUCAACCAUAUCUCCCCCUAUAACCUAGUUUUCUUAAAAAUUUUUAUUUGUCCUAAUCUCGUUUUAAUGAGCGUUAAGAUACAGGAUUCUGCUUUUAUUUCCUCGGUAUUAUCAUAAUAACUAUAAUGAACAUCCUUAUGUACAUCUUUUUCUCCACACUUAUUUUAGAUUCUUGGUACAGAGAUUACUGUGUCAAAAUACAUGCCAGUUUUUGCCCACUGGCUUUCCAAAUGAGCUUUACCGUUUGCACUGCCAGCAGCAAUGUCGCAAUCUGCCGGUCUCAGCCAAUCUCCCUACACUGGUUAAAUAGCACUUAGCCUUUUGGAGUGGUUGCUGAUGCUGUAAAUUUAAUGACUGUAGAUUGCACCUCCAUUCCUGUUUCUUGAAUGGAUUCGUUCAUUCAUAUAAGAAAUAUUUAUUGACCGUAAGGUAUGUGCUAGAUGCUUUGAUAGGUUUUGGGGAUAAAAAAUGGUUCGUGUGAAGCUCAUUGUCAGCUCAGCAGCAGCUCGCGGGAGUGUUUUUGUAUUAUAUAAUCAUGCUCUUUAUCCAUUUACUCAGUAACACUUUCAAGUUGUUCUUACCAGUUUAUAUGAAUUAUUUAUAUUCUAUCUCAACUCUUUGAUUUAUUUGCUGUAAAUGUUUUUUUUCCAACACA